GAGUUCAAUGAAGAAGAAGGUGAG
rnacentral:siRNA from 1 species